rnacentral:rRNA from 1 species
AGCGAACGCUGGCGGCAGGCCUAACACAUGCAAGUCGAACGAAGCCUUCGGGCUUAGUGGCGGACGGGUGAGUAACACGUGGGAACGUACCUUUUGGUUCGGAACAACUCAGGGAAACUUGAGCUAAUAUCGGAUGAGCCCUUAGGGGGAAAGAUUUAUCGCCGAAAGAGCGGCCCGCGGUGGAUUAGCUAGUUGGUGAGGUAAAGGCUCACCAAGGCAACGAUCUAUAGCUGGUCUGAGAGGAUGAUCAGCCACACUGGGACUGAGACACGGCCCAGACUCCUACGGGAGGCAGCAGUGGGGAAUCUUGCGCAAUGGGCGAAAGCCUGACGCAGCCAUGCCGCGUGAAUGAUGAAGGUCUUAGGAUUGUAAAAUUCUUUUACCAGGGACGAUAAUGACGGUACCUGGAGAAAAAGCCCCGGCUAACUUCGUGCCAGCCGCCGCUGUAACAC